rnacentral:rRNA from 1 species
AUGGCCACCUGCCUCUCAGACAUGAUUAGUGACCAUUCCCUUGACUUCCUGGGCUUGCAAGAAACUAUGAAAAAAGAGUUUACUCCUAAAUGCCUGAGAAGAAUUGAUCCCUUUGACAUUUUCCAGUGGAAUUGGGUGCCUUCCACGGGCAAAUCUGGAGGCAUCCUAUGUGGUACACGGAGAGAUAAGUUUGAUAUAGUCUCUUGUACUAAGGGCAAAUAUAUACUGCAACUAGUGUUGUAUGACAUACAAAAAAAACAGUGGGGUCUGCUGGUAGCAUAUGGAUCGGCGCAUGAUGAAUUCAAAAAUGAAUUCCUAGUUGAGCUAGCUUCCUGUUGUAGUGGCAUGACCGUACCCUACAUAGUAGGGGGGGGAUUUUAA